CUACGGGGUGCUCCAGUCGAGAAUCUUCCGCAAUGGGCGCAAGCCUGACGGAGCAAUGCCGCGUGAGGGAUGACGGCCCUAGGGUUGUAAACCUCUGUCAGAAGGGACGAAGAACGUGACGGUACCUUCAGAGGAAGCCAUGGCUAACUACGUGCCAGCAGCCGCGGUAAUACGUAGAUGGCGAGCGUUAUUCGGAUUUACUGGGCGUAAAGGGUCCGUAGGGGGUCUGCCAAGUCUGAUGUGAAAUCCUGCGGCUCAACCGCGGAACUGCAUUGGAAACUGGCGGACUAGAGUGUGCGAGGGGUGAGCGGAAUUCCUGGUGUAGCGGUGGAAUGCGUAGAUAUCAGGAAGAACACCGAUGGCGAAGGCGGCUCACUGGCGCAUCACUGACCCUGAGGGACGAAAGCGUGGGUAGCAAACAGGAUUAGAUACCCGAGUAGUC
rnacentral:rRNA from 1 species